rfam:Loxodonta africana unplaced genomic scaffold scaffold_51, whole genome shotgun sequence.
GCAGUGGUGGUUCAAUGGUAGAAUUCUCGCCUUCCAUGAGGGAGACCUGGGUUUGAUUCCUGGCCAUGUGCC